rnacentral:rRNA from 1 species
UACGAAGGGGGCUAGCGUUGUUCGGAUUUACUGGGCGUAAAGCGCACGUAGGCGGAUCUUUAAGUCAGAGGUGAAAUCCCAAGGCUCAACCUUGGAACUGCCUUUGAUACUGGGAUCUCGAGUCCGGGAGAGGUGAGUGGAACUGCGAGUGUAGAGGUGAAAUUCGUAGAUAUUCGCAAGAACACCAGUGGCGAAGGCGGCUCACUGGCCCGGUACUGACGCUGAGGUGCGAAAGCGUGGGAGCAACAGG